AUGGCUCAGUGAGGCGUUCGGACUGGCUCGGGGAGGUUGGCAACGACCACCCCAAGCCGGAAAGUUCGUCAAACUCGGUCAUUUAGAGGAAGUAAAAGUCGUAACAAGGUCUCCGUAGGUGAACCUGCGGAGGGAUCAUUACACAACAAAAUAUGAAGGCCUGGCUUCGCGGCCGGCUGAAAUAUUUUUUUCACCCAUGUCUUUUGCGCACUUGUUGUUUCCUGGGCGGGUUCGCCCGCCACCAGGACCAAACCAUAAACCUUUUUUUUAUGCAGUUGCAAUCAGCGUCAGUAAAAACAAUGUAAUUAUUACAACUUUCAACAACGGAUCUCUUGGUUCUGGCAUCGAUGAAGAACGCAGCGAAAUGCGAUACGUAGUGUGAAUUGCAGAAUUCAGUGAAUCAUCGAAUCUUUGAACGCACAUUGCGCCCUUUGGUAUUCCAAAGGGCAUGCCUGUUCGAGCGUCAUUUGUACCUUCAAGCUUUGCUUGGUGUUGGGCGUUUUUUGUCUCCCUCUUUCUGGGAGACUCGCCUUAAAACGAUUGGCAGCCGGCCUACUGGUUUCGGAGCGCAGCACAUAUUUUGCGCUUUGUAUCAGGAGAAAAGGACGGUAAUCCAUCAAGACUCUACAUUUUUAACUUUUGACCUCGGAUCAG
rnacentral:sRNA from 1 species